GAAGGCGCUGCAGAACAGGUUGUGGCCGUUCCUCUGCCUUUUAUUGCUCUGGCUGUGCGUGGGCUGUGAUGGCCCAGCUCCUGUCCCCUGGGCACCUUAAAGGAACUUCAGGACCUCUGACUCCAGGUUCAAAGCACCUGCAUCCUGCCUGGUACGUUACAGCUGCUCAGGGAAAGACUACUGAAUUGAAGAGGAGUUGGAGGGAGAGUCUGCUGACUGGCCUGCGAUGAGAGGAGAUCUGCUUCUGACAUCCCCUGUUGGAAACCGGAAUGCAGCUUUCCCUAGAAGCGUGUUACACAUGGUGAUUCUGUGCUUCAGGACUUGGGGUGUGGCACUGAAGGAGUUAAGUAGGCUUUUGUCAACUGAUCUGGGGACAUAGCCAGCAUAUAUAACACAAUUUUCUUAUGGGAUAUGCAUUGUAAGUUUCAACUAAUACUUUGAGAAUUGACUUACUUAUAGAUAGAGAACUGCCUGUACAUGUCACUCCCAUUGCCUGCCAACCCUAAAUUCAAACAUGUCCGUAUACUGGUGAGUGUAUGGAGAAGGGUUCAGUUUCACCCACUCUGUGUCUCCCUCCACCCGAGGUGCACACAGCGAUUUCACACUGCAUCCUGCACCUUGUAGCUUAGAUGCCAUAACACCCCAGGGCGGAAACUGUUCCUUGUUUUCACACCUUCUUCUCAAUGUACACUCUCAGCCCCUAGUCAAUUGUGAAUGCAAGGAAUAGAGUAAUCACCACAUCCUUGCUUAGGUGGGACUCAUUUUCCACUCACACCUUCUCCCUGGAAAGAGGGAGGGAGAGAUUGUGAAGGGUGGGUGGUGGGGAAGAGUGUGUACAGCUGUGCUCAUGGCCCCCUGACCCCCGGCACACCCACUUGUUCUCAAGCAGAGUGAGCUAGGACAUUAAUAUCCUCUUCCGACCUUUGACUGAAAUUAUUCUGCCUGACUUAAUCCUCCAGUAUUAGCGGUAGAAGAGGGGUUUCUGCCUUUCAGACUGAAUGUUGUUAACAGGGAAAAGACUCAGUUUACUAGCACCUAAGUGUCUUGAAUGGAUGGAACAUGCCAAAUGAUGGUGAGCUGCAGCGGUUCUUACAGCAUACGCCUGAGCAAGCCUUUGAAGGAGGAGCAGCCUGGGAAACAGACUCUGGAGAAGAUUUUUGCAGCUCCACACAUUCAGUUACAUCAGAGGUUCUCAGCUGGGGAUGAUUUUGGCCCCUAGAGGACAUUUGGCAAUGUUUGGAGACAUUUUUGGUUUUCACGAACUGGGUGGGGAGGGGUAGAGGCCCGAGAUGUUGCUAAACAUCCUGCAAUGUGCAGAACAGCCCUUCACAAUAAAGAAUUACCUGGCCCAAAAUGUCAAUGAUGCCAAGAUUGAGAAACUCGAAGUUAGAUGGAUAUAUCUGGUCUGUCAACAUGAUGAUAUUACCUAGAGAAACAUCUAGACACUAUUAGCAAACGUCAUAUUUGUAAAAUUUAAGCUGUAUAUAAAGGCAGAUGACUUUCUUCUGAGUUUAUUUCCUUAUCAUGGGCUGACUGUUCAGGUUUUUAUACCAUAAUUUAAGAAUUUUUGUUUUCCUUAAAGUUUGGUCUCUCACUGUUAACCAUUUUUCACAAAUAAAUCAAGUGUUUAUUACUC